AGCGAACGCUGGCGGCAGGCCUAACACAUGCAAGUCGAACGAAGUCUUCGGACUUAGUGGCGGACGGGUGAGUAACACGUGGGAACGUGCCUUUAGGUUCGGAAUAACUCAGGGAAACUUGUGCUAAUACCGAAUGUGCCCUUCGGGGGAAAGAUUUAUCGCCUUUAGAGCGGCCCGCGUCUGAUUAGCUAGUUGGUGAGGUAAAGGCUCACCAAGGCGACGAUCAGUAGUUGGUCUGAGAGGAUGAUCAGCCACAUUGGGACUGAGACACGGCCCAAACUCCUACGGGAGGCAGCAGUGGGGAAUCUUGCGCAAUGGGCGAAAGCCUGACGCAGCCAUGCCGCGUGGAUGAUGAAGGUCUUAGGAUUGUAAAAUCCUUUCACCGGUGAAGAUAAUGACUGUAGCCGGAGAAGAAGCCCCGGCUAACUUCGUGCCAGCAGCCGCGGUAACAC
rnacentral:rRNA from 1 species